rnacentral:misc_RNA from 1 species
GACGGAGGGUGCUAGCGUUGUUCGGAAUUACUGGGCGUAAAGGGCGCGUAGGCGGCUUGUUAAGUCGGGUGUGAAAGCCCGGGGCUCAACCCCGGAACUGCAUCCGAGACUGGCAGGCUCGAGGUCGGAAGAGGAGAGUGGAAUACCCAGUGUAGAGGUGAAAUUCGUAGAUAUUGGGUGGAACACCGGUGGCGAAAGCGGCUCUCUGGUCCGAAUCUGACGCUGAGGCGCGAAAGCGUGGGGAGCAAACAGG